rnacentral:rRNA from 1 species
GACGAACGCUGGCGGCGUGCCUAAUACAUGCAAGUCGAACGCUGAAGGAGGAGCUUGCUUCUCUGGAUGAGUUGCGAACGGGUGAGUAACGCGUAGGUAACCUGCCUGGUAGCGGGGGAUAACUAUUGGAAACGAUAGCUAAUACCGCAUAAGAGUAGAUGUUGCAUGACAUUUGCUUAAAAGGUGCAAUUGCAUCACUACCAGAUGGACCUGCGUUGUAUUAGCUAGUUGGUGAGGUAACGGCUCACCAAGGCAACGAUACAUAGCCGGCCUGAGAGGGUGGUCGGCCACACUGGGACUGAGACACGGCCCAGACUCCUACGGGAGGCAGCAGUAGGGAAUCUUCGGCAAUGGACGGAAGUCUGACCGAGCAACGCCGCGUGAGUGAAGAAGGGUUUCGGAUCGUAAAGCUCUGUUGUAAGAGAAGAACGAGUGUGAGAGUGGAAAGUUCACACUGUGACGGUAUCUUACCAGAAAGGGACGGCUAACUACGUG